CAUUCUUUUGCUUACGUGAAAGUAAAACCCGGCGGCGGAGGAGGAUGAAGAAGAAAGAAGAGAUCUUCGGCUGCUUGAAUGGGCCUGAUGUUAGAGAAGAUGUGGAGUCGGGUUUUUUUUUAUUAGAGAAUGUCUUAAAAGGGUG